rnacentral:rRNA from 1 species
AACGUCUCAGUUCGGAUUGUAGUCUGCAACUCGACUACAUGAAGCUGGAAUCGCUAGUAAUCGCAGAUCAGAAUGUCGCGGUGAAUACGUUCCCGGGUCUUGUACACACCGCCCGUCACACCAUGGGAGCCGGUAAUACCCGAAGUCAGUGACCCAACCGCAAGGAGGGAGCUGCCGAAGGUGGAGCUGGUAACUGGGGUGAAGUCGUAACAAGGUAUC